CGUCCCCUGCAGUGUUCGUUAGCCGCCUGGGUAUUUUCUUGAGCCUAAUCUAUACCCUGGGAGCAUAAUGCCGGUGCUGGUGUGCAUGUCCGCUCCGAGCGGAAAGCCUGAAGCACCCCUGUUGUUCCCCCUUGAACCCACUGGUUCAAGAACAAAGGCCGGCGACGGCACAGGUGGGGGGCGU
rnacentral:other from 1 species